GAUCCUGCGAGAGAUUGCUGCUAUUGGGGUUCGACUAAGCCAUGCAAGUCAGAGAGUAAUCUCGGCGGAAUGCUCAGUAACAUGUCGAUAAUCUGCUCUUGGGUUCGGGAUAACCUCGGGAAACUGAGAAUAAGACCGGAUAGGGAAGGGAAUCUGGAAGGAUCCCUUCUUUAAAGGCAACGCCCAAGAAUGAGUCGGCACCGGAUUAGGCUGUUGGCGGUGUAAUGGACCACCAAACCUUUGAUCCGUACGGGCCUUGAAAGAGGUAGCCCGGAGAGGGACACUAAGACACUGGUCCCAGCCCUACGGGGUGCAGCAGGCGCGAAACCUCUGCAAUGCACGAAAGUGUGACAGGGGGACCCCAAGUGCUCAAGUACAACUUGGGCUUUUGCCAAGUGUAAAUAGCUUGGAGAAUAAGUGGUGGGCAAGACUGGUGCCAGCCGCCGCGGUAACACCAGCGCCACAAGUGGGAAUCGCAUAUUUGGCCUAAAGCGUCCGUAGCCGGUUUUGUAAAUUCCCUGUGAAAUUGAUGGGCCUAACUCAUCAGCGCGCGGGGAAGACUGCAUAACUCGGAAUCGGGAGGGGUCGGGAGUAUUCGAUGGGGAGCGGUAAAAUGCGAUAAUCCAUUGAAGACUACCUGUGGCGAAGGCGCCCGACCAGCACGAAUUCGACGGUGAGGGACGAAAGCUGGGGGAGCGAUCCGGAUUAGAUACCCGAGUAGUCCCAGCUGUAAACUCUGCGAGCAAGGUGUUGCGCAAUUUUAGGGAUUGCGCAGUAUCGAAGCGAAGGCGUUAAGCUCGCCGCCUGGGGAGUAUGGUCGCAAGGCUGAAACUUAAAGGAAUUGGCGGGGGAAUACUACAAGGGGUGCGGCGUGCGGUUUAAUUGAACUCAACGCCGGUCAUCUCACCAAGGGCGACGGCAGGAUGAAGGUCAGGUUGAAGACUUUACCUAACGAGCCGAGAGGUGGUGCAUGGCCGCCGUCAGCUCGUGCUGUAAGGUGUCCUCUUAAGUGAGGUAACGAGCGAGACCUGUGCCACUAAUUGCUAACGGGAUUUUUAAAUCGGCUGAGCACAUUAGUGGGACUGCCUGGGAAACCAGGAGGAAGGUGCAGACAACGGUAGGUCCGUAUGCCCCGAAUCCCUUGGGCUACACGCGCGCAACAAUGGAUGGGACAAAGGGAUGCAACCGCGAAAGCGGAAGCUAAACCUCAAAACUCAUUCUUAGUUCGGAUUGAGGGCUGCAACUCGCCCUCAUGACGUCGGAAUCCCUAGUAAUCGGAGUUCAAAAUACUCUGGUGAAUAUGUCCCUGUUCCUUGCACACACUGCCCGUCAAGCCAAUCGAGUUGGGUUUAGGUGAAAUGCAGUUUCAUGACUUCAUUGAACCUAAGCUCGAUGAGAAGGGUUAAGUCGUCACAAGGUA
rnacentral:rRNA from 1 species